rnacentral:rRNA from 1 species
GAUGAACGCUGGCGGCGUGCCUAAUACAUGCAAGUCGAGCGAACAGACGAGGAGCUUGCUCCUCUGACGUUAGCGGCGGACGGGUGAGUAACACGUGGAUAACCUACCUAUAAGACUGGGAUAACUUCGGGAAACCGGAGCUAAUACCGGAUAAUAUACUGAACCGCAUGGUUCAAUAGUGAAAGACGGUUUUGCUGUCACUUAUAGAUGGAUCCGCGCCGCAUUAGCUAGUUGGUGAGGUAACGGCUUACCAAGGCAACGAUGCGUAGCCGACCUGAGAGGGUGAUCGGCCACACUGGAACUGAGCCACGGUCCAGACUCCUACGGGAGGCAGCAGUAGGGAAUCUUCCGCAAUGGGCGAAAGCUUGACGGAGCAACGCCGCGUGAGUGAUGAAGGUCUUCGGAUCGUAAAACUCUGUUAUUAGGGAAGAACAAAUGUGUAAGUAACUAUGCACGUCUUGACGGUACCUAAUCAGAAAGCCACGGCUAACUACGUG